rnacentral:rRNA from 1 species
UACAGAAGUCCCAAGCGUUGUUCGGAUUCACUGGGCGUAAAGGGUGCGUAGGCGGUCGGGUAAGUCUGGCGUGAAAUCUCCAAGCCUAACUUGGAAACUGCGUUGGAUACUAUCCGGCUCGAGGAAUGGAGGGGAGACUGGAAUACUUGGUGUAGCAGUGAAAUGCGUAGAUAUCAAGUGGAACACCAGUGGCGAAGGCGGGUCUCUGGACAUUUCCUGACGCUGAGGCACGAAAGCCAGGGGAGCAAACGGG